rnacentral:misc_RNA from 1 species
AAAAAAAAAAAGAGAAAAGAAAAAUAGAAAAAAUAGGAGAAUAGUAUGCAGAGGAAACAUCUUAGAACCAAAUAUUAAAAAUUGAAAGUGAUAUCAAGGUACUAUAGAAAACAAUGGGAAGGGAAACUUGCAAAAAAGAUGCUGAAAACCAUGUGAAUUGAAUAAUAUUUGGAGUUCUUCAGUUGUGGUUUCUCUAAUUUGGAAACUUAAGUUUCUCUUGUCCACUUGUCCUAAUUUAAUGGUUUUCUCCACAUUCUUAAGAUGAAGCCAUGCAUUUGUAUACCUAAUUGUUCCCCGAGGACUCAUUUCUGAUCCUUGCUUAUUUGCACGUUCAAAUCUGAGCUAAUGGUCCAAUAUAUCCCGAACUUUGCUCUAUUUUUUAAUUGUAUCCUAUGUGUUUAAUUUUUUUUAGUUCAUAAAUUAUAAUAUUUUUUUUCCGUUUGUAUCCAGUGGGUUUGAGGCGUGUGUUCAUGCUAAUAUGGCACUAAGAUGGAAGGCAAAUAUGGAUGCAAUUGCAAAAAUUUUCCCCAUCAUGAAGCUUCUUAAAAAUGCUUUUUGAGAUUCACAUUAUGCUAAAUGCUAUUGUUUGUUGGAUCUGAAGGUCUAAGAGGGGCCCACAUUGUCCAAAUCAAUAUAUUUUUUUUUUGAUGUAAAAAGUCCACAUUAGUGCCAUGUUAAUGUGAGUACACUCUUUGUACCCAUUGGACAAAAUUGAAACAAUUUAGCAAGUUAUCAAUGCAAUUGAUAAAAUUAAAAGUGUAGGAUAUAGUUGAAAAAGCAUGCGAACUUCAUGAUAUAUCUUAUCAUUAAGCCUUCAGAUUUUGUAAUAGAGGAGUCAGCUGUCUUCAAUAUUAGAGCUUCAAGACAAUAAAUUGAAUAAUUUUUACACCUUGAUGAUAAAAGAUAAGUGGUUGGGCCUUCAUUUCUUAAAGAUGGUUUUCUGAGUCUAAACUAAUAAAUUUUGCAUUUCAAAUUGCAUUGGCUAUGACUUGCUAUGUAAGCAAGUUAUACCGGAAUGGACUGCUUGUCAAGUAAACUUGAAUAUUAUGAAUAUGAAGCAUUUUAUGUUAAUGAAGUGUUUGAAUAAGUCUUGUGCAUGCAUUUGCUGUACUGUUUGAACCUAAUCAUGUUGCAGUAGUCACUCUUGUCCAUUUUUUUUGAUUUGGCAUCAUAUUGAUAUGAUGAAUUUUAUCUUACAAUUCAAUAAUAUCUCCUCUUUUAGGGUCCCGAUUUGGUUAUCCAUCAGAGUAAAGAGUGCUUAGAGAAGAUGGGAGAAUGGUGUCAAAGUCAUCAUGCAGCUAGCGGUCUGACAGAGAAAGUGCUCCAAAGUUCAGUGAGUGAAGGAGAGGCUGAAAAGCAGGUGAUAGAAUUUGUUAGGAGACAUGUCGGUACAUACACACCUCUUUUGGCAGGCAAUUCAGUGUAUGUGGAUUUUCUGUUUUUAAAG